CAUGAAAUGUCUAUUAAAUACCGAUGCAGUUCUUUUCACAAACUCGUGGGUCGAGAGACAGUGAGAUGCUACAGCAGUGGCACGUGGUCAGAAGUACCCACCUGCAAAGACGCCUACUGUUCUGUGGACACUGCUGAAAAAGAUGGCUUUCAAUCUGUUGGAGUUGUAUUUUUAGAAUAUGGUGAGAGAAAGAGAUUUGAAUGUGUGAAACCGUCCAGGUGGUCGUUUGCACAUUAUUCUUUUGGCCGGUGCACUAAUGGAAGAAUGAGCUUUACUAAAUGUUGUAACAGGGCUGAACAUGCUGUGUAUUGCUAAGGCUGUAUCACAAAGGGGAAGACAAUGCUGCCUUUGGAUUUAUGCACAACCAACUGAAAACCAGCCUGGAAACAUUAAGUUAUGAUCAUGCUGUCACACACUGUGCUGGGCUUCUCAAGAAACAUUUCUGGCUUUUCAUUUUAAUUGAUGAAUGCCUACAUAAUUUAGGAGCAUAUGGUCUGUCAGUGUGCUCAAAGCUGUGAAAAUAACUUGACAGAUAAAUAUGGUGCAUAUUUGA